rnacentral:rRNA from 1 species
CCUACGGGAGGCAGCAGUAGGGAAUCUUCCACAAUGGGCGCAAGCCUGAUGGAGCAACACCGCGUGAGUGAAGAAGGGUUUCGGCUCGUAAAGCUCUGUUGUUGGAGAAGAACGUGCGUGAGAGUAACUGUUCACGCAGUGAAGGUAUCCAACCAGAAAGUCACGGCUAACUACGUGCCAGCAGCCGCGGUAAUACGUAGGUGGCAAGCGUUAUCCGGAUUUAUUGGGCGUAAAGCGAGCGCAGGCGGUUGCUUAGGUCUGAUGUGAAAGCCUUCGGCUUAACCGAAGAAGUGCAUCGGAAACCGGGCAACUUGAGUGCAGAAGAGGACAGUGGAACUCCAUGUGUAGCGGUGGAAUGCGUAGAUAUAUGGAAGAACACCAGUGGCGAAGGCGGCUGUCUGGUCUGCAACUGACGCUGAGGCUCGAAAGCAUGGGUAGCGAACAGGAUUAGAUACCCGGGUAGUC